ensembl:lncRNA
AGGCACUGUCUGGAAGCCUAGCAGUGACACCUUGUGGCGAAAAAGUUAAUCACCAUCACAUGGCUUGUUGACAUUCCAGCCACAGUAGCGCAGUGGCCGAUGUACCUGGAGAUUCCGAGGCUUACCAUGCAUUGGACAUUUCCUCCUGUGCGUUUAUGAAGCAGCUCCUGCAAUUGCUCGGUCCAAAGCUGUGUUCCUUCAUAUUGUAUUGUCCUCAGUUUCUUUUCUGACGGUGGCUCUCAACUUGCUUGUCAUCAUCUCAGUCUCCCACUUCAGGCAGCUCCACACACCCACUAACAUCCUGCUCCUCUCUCUGGCUGUCUCAGACUUUCUUGUUGGCCUCCUAUUGUCACCUGC